rnacentral:lncRNA from 1 species
GUAGAAUGGCCUGAGGGGAACCUCAGGAGGCCUCCUCCACUGUCGUCAGUAAUUCUGUGUCCUCCCCUUGGAGCACUCCCUCAUCUGGCUCCAUGGCCACAGUCAGAUGCACUGAGGGGCAGUGGGCUCUGGCUCAUGUUUCACAUCCCCUGAGGAAAAGUCAUCCUUUGCUCUUCCUUCAUGUCAGUGGUGGCUUUAGCCAGAGACAGCCCUGGAGACCUGACAGCACUAAAUGCCUUGAUUUCCCCAGCCGUUUGAUGAGUCAGUCAUUGUCUGCCACUGGAAGCACCAUGUGCAUGUGUGUAAUAUCUAUGUCUCCCCAGUCUUGGAUCCCAGCUUCUCACUGAAGUGCUGUUGGGUUUGAACACUCUGCUGUCCUCUGGGGGGAAGGACUGGCUACCAAUGACUCACAGGAACGCUUUGCCAGAUAGCGUUAUUACCACAACGACAGCGAAGACAGUGGUGGAGUGCUAGUUGUGGUUGUGCAGUAAUAGGAGCAGCCCCAGCCAAAGGAGCAGCCCUAGGGGAAGAGCCGAAGCAAGAGUAGCAACCACACAGCGCACCUCAGGGAGGCCCAGUAUUGGGCUUCACACCACCCUCAUCACAGAGUACAUUUAAUUCUCACCAUGACCCUGAAGCAGCCAACGUUUUUCUUUUAAGUGUCCACAUUUUACAGAUGAGGACAUUGAAGCGUAAUGAGGGAACAAUAAGAAAGCCAGGACUACACAGGUGGGACUUUGCAACACUUGGGAUUCGCCUAGACUUCCAGGUUCAUGGUCUCCUGGACUUACCAUCCCACCCCACCCCCGCCCCGGGAGUGCAGUGCUUUGCACCUUUUGGAAGGCAGUGGGAAUGCUGCUUCAGCAGUCGGUGUGUAACUGAGGCCGCUUGGAUAUUCAAAUGAUGUCUCAGCCAUAUACAAAUCCGCUCCUCUUCCAUCUGCAUCCCCCCAGAAAUUCAAUAAAACCACGGAAGAAGGGAAUUCUGAGGCCGCUUGGAUAUUCAAAUGAUGUCUCAGCCAUAUACAAAUCUGCUCCUCUUCCAUCUGCAUCCCCCCAGAAAUUCAAUAAAACCACGGAAGAAUGAGCCCGUCUACUGCACCCCCAGCCCCACCAGUGCUAUCUGAAGCCUUUUGCGCUGAAGAAAUGAGAUUCAGAUGGAAAAGUGCUGGCACAAGGUUGAGCAGGGUUCUCUAAUAAAGACACUGCGCAUCACACAUCAGCUGCUGCUGUUGCUAUGGUGACAGCCACAAUUUCUCCCAGACAGCCUGGGUCUGCAGGGAGGGUGGACCCUGGGGGGAACAAGUGUGUUCCUCCAACCUGUCAGACCCUGUCACCUUUCCUGUUUCUUUCACCUCUCCCACUCCCGCCAGCCCCC